rnacentral:rRNA from 1 species
GGUUAAGCGACUAAGCGUACACGGUGGAUGCCCCGGCAGUCAGAGGCGAUGAAGGACGUGCUAAUCUGCGAAAAGCGUCGGUAAGGUGAUAUGAACCGUUAUAACCGGCGAUGUCCGAAUGGGGAAACCCAGUGUGAUUCGUCACACUAUCGUUAACUGAAUACAUAGGUUAACGAGGCGAACCGGGGGAACUGAAACAUCUAAGUACCCCGAGGAAAAGAAAUCAACCGAGAUUCCCCCAGUAGCGGCGAGCGAACGGGGAGCAGCCCAGAGUCUGAAUCAGCUUGUGUGUUAGUGGAACGGUCUGGAAAGUCCGACGGUACAGGGUGAUAGUCCCGUACACCAAAAUGCACAGGCUGUGAACUCGAAGAGUAGGGCGGGACACGUGGUAUCCUGUCUGAAUAUGGGGGGACCAUCCUCCAAGGCUAAAUACUCCUGACUGACCGAUAGUGAACCAGUACCGUGAGGGAAAGGCGAAAAGAACCCCGGCGAGGGGAGUGAAAAAGAACCUGAAACCGUGUACGUACAAGCAGUGGGAGCACCUUCGGGUGUGACUGCGUACCUUUUGUAUAAUGGGUCAGCGACUUAUAUUCUGUAGCAAGGUUAACCGUAUAGGGGAGCCGCAGGGAAACCGAGUCUUAACUGGGCGUUAAGUUGCAGGGUAUAGACCCGAAACCCGGUGAUCUAGCCAUGGGCAGGUUGAAGGUUGGGUAACACUAACUGGAGGACCGAACCGACUAAUGUUGAAAAAUUAGCGGAUGACUUGUGGCUGGGGGUGAAAGGCCAAUCAAACCGGGAGAUAGCUGGUUCUCCCCGAAAGCUAUUUAGGUAGCGCCUCGUGAACUCAUCUUCGGGGGUAGAGCACUGUUUCGGCUAGGGGGUCAUCCCGACUUACCAACCCGAUGCAAACUACGAAUACCGAAGAAUGUUAUCACGGGAGACACACGGCGGGUGCUAACGUCCGUCGUGAAGAGGGAAACAACCCAGACCGCCAGCUAAGGUCCCAAAGUCAUGGUUAAGUGGGAAACGAUGUGGGAAGGCACAGACAGCCGGGAUGUUGGCUUAGAAGCAGCCAUCAUUUAAAGAAAGCGUAAUAGCUCACUGGUCGAGUCGGCCUGCGCGGAAGAUGUAACGGGGCUAAACCAUGCACCGAAGCUGCGGCAGCGACACUAUGUGUUGUUGGGUAGGGGAGCGUUCUGUAAGCCUGCGAAGGUGUGCUGUGAGGCAUGCUGGAGGUAUCAGAAGUGCGAAUGCUGACAUAAGUAACGAUAAAGCGGGUGAAAAGCCCGCUCGCCGGAAGACCAAGGGUUCCUGUCCAACGUUAAUCGGGGCAGGGUGAGUCGACCCCUAAGGCGAGGCCGAAAGGCGUAGUCGAUGGGAAACAGGUUAAUAUUCCUGUACUUGGUGUUACUGCGAAGGGGGGACGGAGAAGGCUAUGUUAGCCGGGCGACGGUUGUCCCGGUUUAAGCAUGUAGGCUGGUUGUCGGGCAAAUCCGGAUAAUCAAGGCUGAGGUGUGAUGACGAGGCACUACGGUGCUGAAGUAACAAAUGCCCUGCUUCCGGGAAAAGCCUCUAAGCAUCAGGUAACAUCAAAUCGUACCCCAAACCGACACAGGUGGUCAGGUAGAGAAUACCAAGGCGCUUGAGAGAACUCGGGUGAAGGAACUAGGCAAAAUGGUGCCGUAACUUCGGGAGAAGGCACGCUGGUGUGUAGGUGAAGUCCCUGCGGAUGGAGCUGAGACCAGUCGAAGAUACCAGCUGGCUGCAACUGUUUAUUAAAAACACAGCACUGUGCAAACACGAAAGUGGACGUAUACGGUGUGACGCCUGCCCGGUGCCGGAAGGUUAAUUGAUGGGGUUAUCCGUAAGGAGAAGCUCUUGAUCGAAGCCCCGGUAAACGGCGGUACGUAACUAUAACGGUCCUAAGGUAGCGAAAUUCCUUGUCGGGUAAGUUCCGACCUGCACGAAUGGCGUAAUGAUGGCCGGGCUGUCUCCACCCGAGACUCAGUGAAAUUGAACUCGCUGUGAAGAUGCAGUGUACCCGCGGCAAGACGGAAAGACCCCGUGAACCUUUACUAUAGCUUGACACUGAACAUUGAGCCUUGAUGUGUAGGAUAGGUGGGAGGCUUUGAAGCGUGGACGCCAGUCUGCGUGGAGCCAACCUUGAAAUACCACCCUUUAAUGUUUGAUGUUCUAACGUUGGCCCCUUAUCGGGGUUGCGGACAGUGUCUGGUGGGUAGUUUGACUGGGGCGGUCUCCUCCCAAAGCGUAACGGAGGAGCACGAAGGUUAGCUAAUCCUGGUCGGACAUCAGGAGGUUAGUGCAAUGGCAUAAGCUAGCUUGACUGCGAGCGUGACGGCGCGAGCAGGUGCGAAAGCAGGUCAUAGUGAUCCGGUGGUUCUGAAUGGAAGGGCCAUCGCUCAACGGAUAAAAGGUACUCCGGGGAUAACAGGCUGAUACCGCCCAAGAGUUCAUAUCGACGGCGGUGUUUGGCACCUCGAUGUCGGCUCAUCACAUCCUGGGGCUGAAGUAGGUCCCAAGGGUAUGGCUGUUCGCCAUUUAAAGUGGUACGCGAGCUGGGUUUAGAACGUCGUGAGACAGUUCGGUCCCUAUCUGCCGUGGGCGCUGGAGAAUUGAGGGGGGCUGCUCCUAGUACGAGAGGACCGGAGUGGACGCAUCACUGGUGUUCGGGUUGUCAUGCCAAUGGCACUGCCCGGUAGCUAAAUGCGGAAGAGAUAAGUGCUGAAAGCAUCUAAGCACGAAACUUGCCCCGAGAUGAGUUCUCCCUGAGACUUUAAGUCUCCUGAAGGAACGUUGAAGACGACGACGUUGAUAGGCCGGGUGUGUAAGCGCAGCGAUGCGUUGAGCUAACCGGUACUAAUGAACCGUGAGGCUUAACCUU